rnacentral:rRNA from 1 species
CUCAGGACGAACGCUGGCGGCGUGCUUAACACAUGCAAGUCGAGCGGUAAGGCCCUUCGGGGUACACGAGCGGCGAACGGGUGAGUAACACGUGAGCAACCUGCCCCUGACUCUGGGAUAAGCCCGGGAAACCGGGUCUAAUACCGGAUACGACACGCCUCCGCAUGGGUGGUGUGUGGAAAGUUUUUUCGGUUGGGGAUGGGCUCGCGGCCUAUCAGCUUGUUGGUGGGGUGAUGGCCUACCAAGGCGGUGACGGGUAGCCGGCCUGAGAGGGCGACCGGCCACACUGGGACUGAGAUACGGCCCAGACUCCUACGGGAGGCAGCAGUGGGGAAUCUUGCGCAAUGGGCGGAAGCCUGACGCAGCAACGCCACGUGGGGGAUGACGGCCUUCGGGUUGUAAACCUCUUUCGGUCUUGACGAAGGCAUCUCGUUGUGGGGUGUUGACGGUAGGGACAGAAGAAGCACCGGCUAACUACGUGCCAGCAGCCGCGGUAAUACGUAGGGUGCGAGCGUUGUCCGGAGUUACUGGGCGUAAAGAGCUCGUAGGCGGUUUGUCGCGUCGGCCGUGAAAUCCUGCUGCUUAACGGCGGGCUUGCGGUCGAUACGGGCAGACUAGAGUUCGGUAGGGGAGACUGGAAUUCCUGGUGUAGCGGUGAAAUGCGCAGAUAUCAGGAGGAACACCGGUGGCGAAGGCGGGUCUCUGGGCCGAUACUGACGCUGAGGAGCGAAAGCGUGGGGAGCGAACAGGAUUAGAUACCCUGGUAGUCCACGCUGUAAACGUUGGGCGCUAGGUGUGGGGACUGUUUCCACGGUUUCCGUGCCGUAGCUAACGCAUUAAGCGCCCCGCCUGGGGAGUACGGCCGCAAGGCUAAAACUCAAAUGAAUUGACGGGG